rnacentral:lncRNA from 1 species
CUCUGUCUCUCCUGCCACCAUGUGAAGAAGGUGCUUGUUUCCCCUUUGCCUUCCGCCAUGAGUGUAAGUUUCCUGAGGUCUCCCAGUCAUACUGCUGGUUAAGCCUGCAGAACGGCUGGUCUUGAACUCCCAGCCUCAAGCCAUCCUCCCGCCUUGGCCUUUCAAAGUGCUGGAUUACAAGCGUGAGCCACCGUGCACAGCCAAGACACAAUUUUAAAUCGAGCGGUCAGGAAGCCUCCUGGAGAAAAUGACGUUUGAACAAAGACAUGAAGAAAGUGGAGAAUAUUUGGAGAAAAGCAUUUCAGGCAGAGGAAAGUGCCAGGGCAGAGGCCCCGAGGACAGGAAAAUGAGACCCACAGAAGUUCAAGUCACCAGGCCAGUUAUUGUUGGGCUAGCACUUGAAGCCAGGUCUGCCUGAAUUUAGGGCCUCAGCUCUUUCCCACGCAUUUUUAGCCCAGAACCAAGCUGUUCAUAAAAGGUGUGCCUGCAAAUAGGAAACUAGAGAGCAUGGGCCCUCAGAGAGAGCUCUGAACCCCAUCUUCGACCUCGAACCUGUCCUUGGACUGAACCUGUCUUUAGGAGGUCUGCCCAUACGGAUGAAUCUGGAGCAGAGGCCGGGCUCAGCAGGAGAGCUUCACAAAACUGAGAUUCGAUGAAGCAGAGCCCCGUUUUAAGGGCUGCACAAAUCCACCCGGA